AUGGGACCGAUGUGCUUCGGAGGUCCCUAUGACCGCGGCGGGACAUCCAAGAAGAACGAUAAGACGAGGUCGCCUUCACCCAAAGAAGAGGCCCUCUUCUAUAGUAAUGUUGCUUUAGUAGGAGAAGGUGCAAUAACUGUCCAUUCUUUUUUCCAGAAAUUAGACGAAGACCUGUGCAGAUUAGUUCAAGAGUUAUUUUCCUUGAUUUUCACACUGGUAUUAACGGGUAAUACAUUACAUAAUCCUAUUAAGACCGAUCAUGCAUGCUUCUAUUUUAAUGUGUUCUUUUUUCAGCAAGCAUCAUCAGCCGUUCACCACGGAGGAACUGUUCUCCAUGGGAGACAAAUAUUUGAAUGCGUUCGAAGAUGCUUGCUGAAGAAACGAGGUCCAUCAGGAGUUCAGGGUCAAAGAGACAAAUGCUGGUUGAUGGAACCGAUGCGCUUCGGAGGUCCCUAUGACAGCGGCGGGGCAUCCAAGAAGAAAGAUAAGACGAGUUCGUCUUCACCCGAAGAAGAGACCCUCUUUUGUAGUAAUGUUACUUUACUAGGAGAAGGUGCAAUGACCGGCCUUUGCAGAUUAGUUCAAGAGUCACUUCCCCCUAAUUUUGUUUUCACAUGGAUAGGAACAGCAUAA
rnacentral:rRNA from 1 species